AAUACCUUCUUCAAUUACUACUAUGUUUGUUUUCAACGGAAAGGCUUUCCGGCGGCUAGUGAAUAAAUAAUUGAAAGAGAUCGGGCUAUUUACAUACCAAUUUUCAUUCAUAUUAUCAGAUGGCAUUAGGGGCUCACUGAACCACGCCAGCUGUUGCACGUCGGCGAAUACUUAAAAGCACAAGUUUGAGAUUCAGAGAACUGAUCAAUGAACCUGGAUUCACUGUCACAACUAAUAAGCUAAAUUUAACAAA